rnacentral:rRNA from 1 species
UGCAGAAUCCCGUGAACCAUCGAGUUUUUGAACGCAAGUUGCGCCCGAAGCCAUCCGGUUGAGGGCACGUCUGCCUGGGCGUCACGCAUCACGUUGCCCCCCAAACAUCUAUUUAGAUGUUCUGGUUGGGGCGGAGAUUGGUCUCCCGUGCCACUUGCAUGGUUGACCUAAAUAUGAGUCUCCUCACGAGAGACGCACGGCUAGUGGUGGUUGAUAACACAGUCGUCUCGUGCCGUACGUUUAUGUUUGUGAGUGUCUAGACUUGUGAAAAACCUGACGCGUCGUCUUNAGAUGAUGCUUCGAUCGCGACCCCAGGUCAGGCGGGACUACCCGCUGAGUUUAA